CGGAGGGAUGAAAAAAGUGACAGGAGUAACCUUGGGGUUUAUGCCCAGCCACAGGUGCCAGCCCGUGAAAAGUAAAAGUGAAACCAGUCCCAGCAAGUCAUUUUCUCAAACUAGAAUCUUCAAGAGAAUUACAUUAAUCUCUCGAUGUCCGAGGACGGCAGCCUGCAGUGAAAGACUGGGGGUCUGGAACCACAAAACAGGAGGAUUUAACACCUUUUGGGUGUAGUUCUCACCAUGUUUCUGGCUGACCCCCACCACAACACCCCCCCCCAUGCUGUAUCCCAGGUAAACCAGCUUCAGAGGCUGCGGCCUAAGAGCAGCGCAUGCCCAGUCGGAGAAGAGUCUAAGGUUUUACACUUGCAGGAAGCCCCUUGUGGACCCUUCUACCCUCUUCCAAGCAUGAGAACCGGCCAAUUCCGGGGUUUUCACUGCCUGGGAAAUGAGAGCCUGGGAGCUACUGAGAGAGCUCUGGGCUUCAGCAUGAAAGCCAGGGCGAGGUCUGAUAAAAAUAUGGAUUUGGAUUGGAAUCUUCUUCUUGGAGAGAGGAGGUGGAGAAAGGCUUUGGAGAAAUUCAUACCUUUACUAACUUAAUCUACUGGAGAGACUGAGGGGAACAGAGGACACUCCGCAACCCCAUGGAAGGCAGAAAGGCGAGAUCUGGCAAAAGUUAUAAAUGCACAUUCCUUCAUCCAGCAAUCCCACUACCAGAAAUGUAUUCGAUAAAUCGACCUGCACAUAUCCAAAAUGUACGUGUUAUUUAUUCCAGCUUGGCUUAUGAUAAUGACUAAUUAGAAGCGAUUUGGACAUCCAUUAAAAGGGGCUGAUGAAACAGAUUAUGGUAGAUCCAUUUAAUAGAACUCCAUGAUGAUGGCAAGCUCUCCAAGGGGCAGUAUAGCAUAACAGUUAAGAACCUAGACUCAGGGACCUCUGGGGGGCUCAGUUAAGUGUUUGACUCUUCUUUUCUGCUCAGGUCGUGAUCUCAGGGUUGUGAGAUCCACCACUUCGGGCUUCACGCUCAGCUCAGAGUCAUCUGGAGAGUCUCUCUCCCUCUUUUGUUGUUCCUCCCCCCAAAUAAAUAAGUGAAUCUUUUUAAAAACGGGGACAAAAAGAACCUAGACUCGAGGACAGCCUGGCUGUCUUGGAAUUCCAGCUAUGUUACUUACUGGUUAUGUGCCCUUAGAUAAAUUAGCUAACUUCUCUAUAGCCUCUCUCCACUAACUGUCUCUGUUUCCUUAAUAGUAAAACAGAGUGGGGCACCUGGGUGGCUCAAGCAGUUAAGUGUCUGCCUUUGGCUGAGGUUCCUGGGAUCAAGUCCUGCAUUGGGUUCCCUGCUCAGUGGGGAGUCUGCUUCUCUCUCUCUCUCUGCCUGCUACUACCCCUGCUUGUGCUCUCUCUCUCUCUUCCUGUGUGUCAAAUAAAUAAAUAAAAUCUUAAAAAAAAAAAAACCAGUAAAACAGAG
rnacentral:lncRNA from 1 species